ACUGGCUCCUCAGCCUGGGCUCCCCACCGUUCUGUUCCUCCAACUGCCUUGUAGGGCACGGCUGGGGGAUGCAGCUGGGAGGGGUGGCUGCCCUAGAGCCUGGGUCCCGGCCUUCAGCCCAGUUCUAUUUCAUAAGCACACAUAACCUCAGCAGGAACAACGUGAUUGCAUCUCCUCUGGGGAACACAGCGUUCCUCUGCCAUGGGAAUGUUUAUCCUGUUCAACUGGGGGAAUUUUGGCUUUGGGGUAGGACUGGGACGUGCAGCAAGAACGGCCUUGUAAAGAGAAGGUCGCCGUGUCUGGAAGGAGCACUGGCUGCAGAAGCUGCGAUGCCCAGCCUUGCUCUCUCUCUGCUGCCGGGGGCUCCGUGGGCCUCUGUCUCUCCCUCUUCAAAGGGCAACGUGGGACUUUUAAGGCAGAGGAAUUGCUGACUUGGUUUUUGGCACGUAGUGGGUGCUCCGUGAUUUCCAGUUUCCUUUCUUCUUGUGCUCCCACGUUGAAGGAAAGAUGGCUCAAGCAGCCAGAUGAAGUACAAGCUGGCUGUCCUGAAACAGAACGCCUUUCAAAAGUUUCCAUAAGGCGUUGGCCACUUGUUAAAACUGGACGGUAGAAUCCUUGCCUGAGCCACGUCCCGUCUGCAGGCGGCAGGCCUCAGAGCCCAUUCCCAGCUCAGCGCUGAGCCAGUGCGUUAAACCAGCUUCCAAGAACACAUAAUUCUCUGCCUGGCGAGCGGACGCUCUCCUUGGCGGCCCGCGCCUCCUCUUCUCCCUCAGAAACACGGAAGGAAAGGGCUGUUGGAUCAGCAUCCUCUCUCUCCGAAAAGCCAAGUCUUGCGUGUUCCCACCAGGGGGCGUCCCAGACACGAACGCCUCCGUCUCUUUGUUGAGUACCUACUGUGUGCCCUUGGACUCCCGAGAAGCGUCGGAACCGCGGUACCGCACGCUCGCACUUGGGCCUGGGCGUUGGAGGCCAGGAGAGGGGAGCGAACGGACUUUCAGCGCAGAGGGAAGGCCACGGCAGAGUGGACGCGGGGCCGGUUGUGGGAGUACAGCGCCGCUCUCAGGCGCAAAGGGACUGGGGCCCAGGCAUUCACGUCGGGACUUUGGCUAAGCAAGCCAGAGCGAGGAGAACACUCUAGACUGAGGAGAUGCCUAAGAAAACACACGCAUGGUCUGUGCUGGGAAACCCCAGUUCUAGAGCCUGCUGGAACACAGGGAAGGGUGUCGGCUGAGGGUAGGAGGUCCGAAGCCAAAGGGGGACGGGUUCUCAGUCCCUAUAUUUGGACCCCAAUUCUUCUUCCAACCUUUAUUUAUUUAUUUAUUUAUUCCCUAACAUUUAGAAACCAUGGCUCUGAUUCUAUUGUACUAACUUUGAAAUGCUCGCCCUGGCUCUUUUCUCUAAAAGACUGUCUGUCCGUGGUAACAAGGCCAGAGCAUGCCCAUGGUCAAUGAGGAGGGGCUGUGUCCCCUCUAGCACAUUCCUGAUGUCAAGGGAGAGCAGGGACUGGUGACUGGAGGGGUUUCUUGAGUUGCUGGUGUGAAUUAGUGCAGAGUCAAGGCUCCUCCCCUACCCCCAUCCCCGGUGGCCUACUGGGUGUAAGUGUGCCAGAGAACGUGUCACCAAGGGCUGAGUCUAGAAUGGGCUCAUUUAUGUCAUCAUCUAUCCAGCUGCGUUUAUGGAGGUCACAGCAGCUCGACAGAAGAAAAUGUGAUUAGCAGCUUUCCCAAAAUAUUUGCUGACUUAAUUGUAGCUCGAGAUUUUGCAAUUGAUACAAUUAUGGAAACCUGUUUCCAUAUAUUUCUACAACUUCAGGACCAAAAAAGAUAUUCUCUGCCUCUGUUCAACAAUGAAGGAAUCCACUUUUUAGUCCUUCUGACAGUUGGCCAGUGUCCCACAACCCCACGAGGUGCUGAACCUGCUUCGUCGCUGUUGUGAUCUGGUUUGGUGGGAAAACAGUUGGGCCGGUAGGGGGCGUUGCUGUUCGCAGAGCAUCUCCCCCCUUCCCCUUCAGACGAAAGGAGGUGGCGAGCGCCCCAGUCCUUUCCAGCACUUGCCUUGGCCUGUCGAAGCUAUAUCCCUGCUUCUCACGCACCCCGCGCUGGGUCCUAGCCACAGCGUGCUCCCGAGGAAGCUGGCUUGGACGGGCUGCUCGAUUUCUGAAAUAAAAACGGAGCACUUGUGGAAACGGAGGCUCAUCCCAUUGUUGAAAAUACUUAAAUCAAAAGCUCAUGUUUGCCUUAUAAAUUCCUACAAGACCAUAAAGAGGAGACACAGACGGGUCAUGGCUGUGAAUAGCCCCAAAGAGGACAGAAGCAUGGACCUAUGUUGGGGCGACUCAAGGAUGGAGCAACAGCCUUCCCGGAGACGAGGAAGCGAGGCGACCCAUCACACAGCCCUGUGCGUGGCUCCUGGCGCGUCAUCCGGGCUCAGAGAGAGCCAGCCCCUGGAACAGCUCCUUAAGAAGGAGAACCAGAGGGAGGCUGGCAUGGAAAUGGGGACUUAAUUCCAGCUUCAUCUCACCCUUUCUUCUCCUUCAUGCCUAACCAGAUUUACCAAACGAGCUUUCCUCAGAACCCUGAAGAAGCCACUUGGGGUUAUACCCGUUGACUGUUAAAGAAUGUAGGCAUUUGGCAAGUGGUCGAAGACAUUUGCCAAGAAGCUUGUCCUCUGAACCCCUGCCGCUUGGCUGAGGUAAUGGGAGAGAUAAGUUGGCUAUAUGUAAGCAGCCAAGACUCUGCAGAGAUGGAAUCUGUCUGGACAUCACUGGAAAAGAAAUGGAGUUUGUUGUGAAAUCUCUGAAGAUGUGUUUUCUUGAGAACAUCUGAAAGGAAGAAAUGCCUAUGACCAGGAGAAAAUGUGACCAGUGAAAAAUCUGAAAUGGGCAAAAGUGGGCCACUUAAUUCUGCAUGAAUACACUUGAGAGUGAAUGUGUUCUGAUUCUCCAAGCAAGAUGGCUCUCCACAAUACUUGGCUUUGUUAAAACCAUGUCUGCUGACACUUGGACUCUCUCCAGUUACCUGGCAUCUGAAAUUAUACCAUUAGUGAUUCACUCCUUUGAACUAAACACAGACCUCUUCAGUCCUGCCUCCUGCUGCUUCUCCUGUUCUCAACUGCUUUUUGGUGCCUAGGGCCUCUCCCCCCUGGGCCCUCACGUGGGGACUCCUUUACCCUCUGUGCUCAGGUGUGCACAGGUGUGGGGAGGGGCGGGGUUACGUGACACACGCCGCAGCAUCCUAGUCCUUUCCUGGUACUGAGGAAACCUGGCCCAGAGGUUGCAGUCCCUUGGGGGGGGGGUCAUCCAUUCACAGUGAGCUGGGGUGGAGGGCUUGCGGGAAGAGGGGACACCCAGCUCAACUCCCCCAGGCUGGCUGGGGCAUUGGUGAGGCAGUCUGAUGGCUAAUGGGAGGGAACCUUGUGCAUACACUGAGUCUCUGGAGGGAGAGGGCCACAGUCAUGCUUCAAGGGGGGUGGGGGGGGGCUCCCUACUCCCAUCAAGAAUGAUCUGCCCUCUUCCUAACUCCUGACAAGGGUCUUUAAAUCUGGCCAGGUGUUGAGAGGUAACUACUUUUGCAAUCGUCAGAGCGGGCUGGGGCCAGGGCUGUGGCAGGCAUCUCGCUGAACCCAACUGGAAGGAAGCAGGGGAUCGUCAUGUGGUCACAUCCGCUGUGAUUCAGCUCAUUUCCAGCAUGAUCAUGAAUUCAAGAACGAGCUUCUGAAAUGAACUCUCCAUCAGGAGGGAGGCGGUAAUUGUGCGGGUUAUUAGCGAUUACUCCUGGAUGGGGGUUAGGGGGUGUGAGCAAUAGAAUUAAAUGAAUUUCCUUUGAAAGUUCUGCUGUGCAAAGUAAGAGAUAUAAAUGCUACAUUAUGUGUUUAAAAUACCUCCUGGGUUUGGUUUAUAGACUUGUUUAUAUUUAUAUAUUUAUUUGAAUGUUUAUGGCUUUCUCUCUGUCAUUUCACGUUGGUAUCUCCAUACUCAUUAUGGUUUUAUGGCCGCUUUUUGGAAAUCAGUGGCUGCACACACCAGCACAUGAUUUGAUGAGAGAAGGAGAUCCAGAAAGGAAAACAAGUUUAAUAUUGUAGUUGGGGCGGGGGAAGAGCCUUCCCCUAGGGUCAGAAAGUUGAAAAUGAAGCUUGAGGUCUGCACACUUUAGUUAGAAUCUUGGGGAGUCUUUGCUUAGAAGGCAGCCGAGAGAUGGUCAAGUUCUGCACUCCCCUUGGAAAGAUGAGAAGUCAGAAGCCUUGAGAAGCCGGGACACUGAUCGCAGGGAGACCAUUUCAAACAGGAAAGAGGAAGCUCUGAGUAACACCUUCUGACGGGUGGAGAGCGACAGAGAUGACGGACACCAGGGAAGUACACACUGAACAGCGAGUCCCCGCUGACUCCCAUUUUGAUCAGAAGGUGCGUGAGGAUGUUCCGAGUCUCCGGGUUUCCACGGUACUUGUGAGCUGCAAAGGCGGGGGGAAGGUGUGGGUGACCCACUUAGGAAAAAAGGUUCCACCGGCUAAAAGGUCAGAUGUGCUGGGUGUCUCCUCAGGGGCUGCACCUCCUCAGACACGACCAGCCCGGGAGGCUCCCCAGUCUUAGUAAAAGAGACUCACUCACUGCUAUGGACUGAACGCUUGCAUCCCCCGAAGCCACAUGUCGACACCUACCCCCCAGUGUGAUGGUAUUAGGAGUGGGAUCUUUGCGGGGUGGUUAGGUCAUGAGAGAGCAGCCCUCCCAAAGGGGAUGAGUGCCCUUGUCAGAGACCCCAGAGAGAGCUCCACUGCCCAUGCCACCAUGUGGUGACUCAGCCAAAGACAGCGGUCUAGGAACCAGGAAGUAGGUCUUCCCCAGACACCGAA